CUCUGUGGUUCAUAGAUGGUGAAUGUGCUCUGGAUAUGGAAGAGGUUAACUAUUUGAGACAUGGUGUUAAACAGUGUUGGUUAUUACACUUUCUACCACUGGAAGAGAUAGUAAUUAUUACCCAGCCACCCCACACUAAGAGACUGUUUUGUAAACUGAUGCAACAAGUGAGGAUCUAGAAUACGCGGGAAGAAGUGCUGACUGCAAGGCAAAGAGUGGCAAAAGUGAUCAAACAGUGCACCAUUUGAUCGUCUUCGAAGGCAGAAAUUGUUUUUAAGUGGGUCUUGGGCAAGGCAAUGCAGCAAAAAAUGAUCAGGGAGGGCAAAAUGAUCCGGGAGAGCUUUCUGUGUAUAAGGAGAAGCAUGCAAGAAUGCGUAGAGAUGCUGUCUUCAUACUGGAAUCCGCCCCAGAUGCAUGCUCUAAUUUAAACAAGAAUAAUUCAAAGAAGCCUCACAGCCUGCAUUACACCCACAGUUAUACUGGGUGAUUCUAAGGAUCUGGUCUGGCCUUAAAAGCAUGGCCUUAAAAACAGUUUGAGAACAGCAUUAAAAAAUCCAAAAUAAAGCUCAUUCAAGGCUAUCAGUGUCUAAAAAUGACAGAGUUACUACAGAAGGCUUGGCCUUGCGAGGGAGAACAACCCAUGAAUCUGCUGGGACGUUGCUGCUGUCCAGUGUAAAUGUGAUGAUGAGCACGUUCUGGGAUGAUUCCUUAUACAUCCCUCCAGCAAAGAGGACUGGACAGAAGUGAUGCCUUUACGAUUCUUCAUGAGGGGAAUAGGCACUUGGUAACCCUAUUGGAUGAAAGUUUGUGUUCGUUUUCAAAAUGCCAUUGCUUUCAGCCAGCCAAGAAAUCCACAGCGGUGAAUCUUUCUGAGGUCUUUGUUGCAGGAUUUGCAGGAAUAGUUCAGGAAGGCCAUGGCCAGUUUGAGUUCUCUCCAACUUGUUCUGCGUACCUGGAUAGCUUAGUGGCUGCUUCCCAGCUGGACAGACAUGGUAAAGGACUGUCUUUGCGUGUGAUUCAUGACUGA
rnacentral:lncRNA from 1 species